CGCGAUCUGGCCGCCGAUGGGCACGAUGAUGGUCAUGACCAGAUGGGGCAACGCUGACACCAGGCCCACCUGCACCAGCGAGCGCACAGAGCGAGGGCUCAGGGGCUGCUGGCCGGACAUCUCCACCCGGUUCUAGCCCCGCCCACUGUGCGUCCCCAUCCUGUCUCCUCUGAGAGUCUACAGCAACCCAACACGAUCUACACUCUACACUCCGUGCAGGUUCGAAGCCCCCUUUUCUCCUGCCUCCCUGCCUGGAUAUCUCUUCUUGCCCCACCGCUCCCCCGCCCCAUCAGGCUUGGGCCCGGACCGUGACCGGGUUCAUGAGUUUGGCGCUCUCGCCGAUGGCGUCCUCGAUGUACUUGCGCUCCUCUUCCGAAAUGCUGGGGUGCAGAGCCGGGGACUCGUAGGAGACGAGCAGCCAGAACAGGUACCAAAAGAU